CGCAGCAGUGGGAACGUCAAACAGACAAUCCCCUCGCCUUUUACUAGGGGAUUCCGUGCCGCUCCCACACUAUAAUGCUGCGUUUCAAUCUUUGGAAACUCUCUCCUCGAAGGAGUC
rnacentral:snRNA from 1 species